GGGGCCAGCUUCCCUUGGUCCAAGGGCUUCGACACUUCUGCCUUCCUCAAGACCAAGUUGCCAGGCCUGAAAAGCUUCGGUCUGACCUUGGCGUUGUAAUACCGAGCGACCCUCUGUCGGUACGAAGCCAUGCGAAUUUGGACCUCAUCCCGUAGUUCGGGGAGGAGGUCUAGGUCGGCCCUCCGACUCUCGGAGUUGCCCGGCUCUUGAUACCGCUCGACUCUUGAAGAUGGCAGUCCA
rnacentral:lncRNA from 1 species